GAAUUCCGUGCCCCUCUAAUAGGCUGGUCCACAGAAUCCGCCUACUGUGGCAAGCUAAACCCACCAUACAAUAAAAUUUAAUAACAUGAUAUGGUAAUUAUUGUAAUUCACAGCCUUUCAAGGCUAAAUACAUAUUUCAUACAUUUCAACACAAAUAUCAAUUCAGCCAUUCAUGCAAAUAUUAUCGUAAGCCAUUCGAUUUCAAAUAAUAAAUUUACAAUGUAACAAGUGGUCUCCAAUUACUCUAUUUUUCAAAAUCAUUAUUCGAUUUCAAGACAAUUUAUAAAAUCCUUUCAUGUAAAUACAUUUUGUUUGUAAAACACAAAGAUUUACCAUUUAAACUCCUUUUCAUAAAAUUUCACCAAAAUCAAUUAAAAACAUACUUUAGAUAAUAAAAAUGAUGGUAAGGUUACUCACAAUGUCUAGAGUGGGGAUUUUCAAAAUACUCAGACUACUGGUCUUCGGAUGCAAUUCCCUUGCCUUUAUCGGAGGACUCACCACCUUGACAUAGUACAAAAUCGAGAAAUUCACCACAUUAGUACUAAAUUGAAAUUAAACUAAUUUAGACUACUAAUGCAUGAUAUGGAAUGCAAAAAGUCUAAAUUUUGCCUAAACACCGUAUUGACCUAUUUCGGUCUUUUACCCGAUAAAUUGAAAUACGCAUCCAAUUUAACUCCAAUUGAUCCUAUUUCCUUUUCUAAUGCUUCAAAUCACCAAUGUCCAGCCAAAUAACCCAAAAAUCAGCAAAGCCACAUUCAUAUUCCUUCUUGGAAAAAUUCGGCCAAAAUGGUGCAUCAUUGUCAUAAUUUUUCCUACUUGAUUUUCUUUCCAUAAUUCAUUAAUUUCCAUAUCAAAAACCAUGAUUUCAUAAUCCAAUAACCUAAAAUAACAUCACAUUCUUCCUCACCAUUGACUGGAAAAUUCAGCUAAGGCUAGGUAAUGGGAAAAUGAAUUUUUUCUACAUAUUUUGUUUACUAACAUCCUAAACUAACACUAAACACCAACAUAUAUCAAAAUCAAAUCAAUCCAACAAUUUUCUCUCUCUAGACCCAUAUGACCAGCCAUGAAAACAUACAAUUUAAUCAUGGAAAAUAAAGAGAAAUGCUUGGGAAUAAGAAAAUUCAAGCUUAAUAGAAAAAAAUCUUACCUUUUUCACUUAAUUUUCUUGGAAAUUCACACUUUUUCUUUGAUUUUCUCUCUCUAGGGUUUGGUUUUUGUUUUUUUUCUCUCUUCUUGCUGGUUUGGCCGACCAUGGGGUGGAAG
rnacentral:lncRNA from 1 species